rnacentral:rRNA from 1 species
GACGAGUCUCACAAACGUUAUUCGGAAUUACUGGGCUUAAAGGGUGCGUAGGCGGCCAACUAAGUCAGACGUGAAAUCCCUCGGCUUAACCGGGGAACUGCGUCUGAUACUGGAUGGCUUGAGUUUGGGAGAGGGAUGCGGAAUUCCAGGUGUAGCGGUGAAAUGCGUAGAUAUUGGGAAGAACACCGGUGGCGAAGGCGGCUAUCUGGACCGACAUUGACGCUGAGGCGCGAAAGCGUGGGGAGCAAACAGG